rnacentral:rRNA from 1 species
UGGGGAAUUUUGCACAAUGGAGGAAACUCUGAUGCAGCGACGCCGCGUGAGUGAUGAAGAUCUUCGGAUUGUAAAACUCUGUCCUUAGAGAAGAUAAUGACAGUAACUAAGAAGCAAGCCCUGGCUAAAUACGUGCCAGCAGCCGCGGUAAUACGUAUGGGGCAAGCGUUGUCCGGAAUUAUUGGGCGUAAAGGGUACGUAGGCGGUUUAAUAAGUCCUAAUUAAAAGGCUAUGGCUCAACCAUAGUAUGGUUAGGAAACUGUUGAACUUGAGUAGAUGAGGGGAAAGUGGAAUUCCAUGUGUAGCGGUGAAAUGCGUAGAUAUAUGGAGGAACACCAAUGGCGAAGGCAACUUUCUGGAAUCAAACUGACGCUGAGGUACGAAGGCGUGGGGAGCAAACAGG